AAAAGCUCAGCAUGCAGAUCCAUUUUCUGCCACCGAAUACAUUAGCAUGGGAUAAUGGAAUAGGACCCUGUCCUCCUAUUUUCAGUUGGUUUUGGCAGCGCGAGGACUAGGGUAAUGAUUAAUAGGGAUAGUUGGGGGCAUUAAUAUUUAAUUGUCAGAGGUGAAAUUCUUGGAUUUAUGAAAGAUUAACUUCUGCGAAAGCAUCUGCCAAGGAUGUUUUCAUUAAUCAAGAACGAAAGUUAGGGGAUCGAAGACGAUCAGAUACCGUCGUAGUCUUAACCAUAAACGAUGCCGACCAGCGAUUAGGAGACGUUGAAUACAAAACACCACCAUCGGCGCGGUCGUCCUUGGCGUCUCGGUCCUUCACGGGGCCGGGGCGCGGGGGCGGCUUAGCCCGGUGGCACCGGUGAAUGACUCCCCUAGCAGCUUGUGAGAA
rnacentral:rRNA from 1 species